rnacentral:rRNA from 1 species
UAGGGAAUCUUCCGCAAUGGACGCAAGUCUGACGGAGCAACGCCGCGUGAGUGAAGAAGGAUUUCGGUUCGUAAAACUCUGUUGUUAGAGAAGAACAGCGCAUAGAGUAACUGUUAUGCGUGUGACGGUAUCUAACCAGAAAGCCACGGCUAACUACGUGCCAGCAGCCGCGGUAAUACGUAGGUGGCAAGCGUUGUCCGGAUUUAUUGGGCGUAAAGCGAGCGCAGGUGGUCAAUUAAGUCUGAUGUGAAAGCCCCCGGCUCAACCGGGGAGGGUUAUUGGAAACUGGUUUACUUGAGUGCAGAAGAGGGGAGUGGAAUUCCAUGUGUAGCGGUGAAAUGCGUAGAUAUAUGGAGGAACACCAGUGGCGAAGGCGACUCACUGGUCUGUAACUGACGCUGAGGCUCGAAAGCGUGGGUAGCAAACAGG